rnacentral:misc_RNA from 1 species
GUAUUUUGAAUUGUUUUAUUCAUAAUAUUUUUCAGACAAAGAGUUGAGAUAAUAGUUGAUGUUUGGGGUUGAUCUCUCGAGAGAAAUCAACCCCGACAUUGCACACAAGGUGGAUAUGGAUUUAAAAAAGUGCCAUAAAACACUUACUAUGAAUGAUCCUUCCGCAGGUUCACCUACGGAAA